UACGGAGGGUGCAAGCGUUAUCCGGAUUCACUGGGUUUAAAGGGUGCGUAGGCGGAACGAUAAGUCAGUGGUGAAAGCCUGUAGCUUAACUACAGAACUGCCAUUGAUACUGUCGAUCUUGAGUAUAUUUGAUGUGGGCGGAAUGUGUCAUGUAGCGGUGAAAUGGUUAGAUAUGACACAGAACACCGAUUGCGAAGGCAGCUCACAAAACUAUAACUGACGCUGAGGCACGAAAGCGUGGGGAUCAAACAGG
rnacentral:rRNA from 1 species